rnacentral:rRNA from 1 species
CAAACGGAGAGUUUGAUUCUGGCUCAGAACGAACGCUGGCGGCGUGGAUUAGGCAUGCAAGUCGAACGAAGGUUUUUUGGAACAAGGCUUCGGCCGAGGACCUUAAAACUUUAGUGGCGGAAGGGUGAGUAAUACAUGGGUAAUCUACCCUUAAGUUGGGAAUACCUUCGCGAAAGCGGAGUUAAUA